rnacentral:rRNA from 1 species
AACGAACGCUGGCGGCAGGCCUAAUACAUGCAAGCCGAACGCCCCGCAAGGGGAGUGGCGCACGGGUGAGUAACGCGUGGGGAUGUGCCCUUGGGUACGGAACAACAUCGGGAAACUGGUGCUAAUACCGUAUAAUGACUAUGGUCCAAAGAUUUAUCGCCCAAGGAUCAACCCGCGUUGGAUUAGCUAGUUGGUGAGGUAAUGGCUCACCAAGGCAACGAUCCAUAGCUGGUCUUAGAGGAUGAUCAGCCACACUGGAACUGAGACACGGUCCAGACUCCUACGGGAGGCAGCAGUAAGGAAUAUUGGACAAUGGGGGAAACCCUGAUCCAGCCAUGCCGCGUGAAUGAAGAAGGCCUUAGGGUUGCAAAGUUCUUUUAGUGGUGACGAUAAUGACGGUAACCACAGAAAAAGCUCCGGCUAACUCCGUGCCAGCCGCCGCAGUAA